rnacentral:rRNA from 1 species
GAUGAACGCUAGCUACAGGCUUAACACAUGCAAGUCGAGGGACCGGCGCACGGGAGAGUAACACGUAUACAACCUGCCCUUUACUCGGGGAUAGCCUUUCGCAAGAAAGAUUAAUACUCGAUAUAAAGGAUGGGGAUGCGUUCCAUUAGGUUGUUGGUGAGGUAACGGCCCACCAAGACUUCAAUGGAUAGGGGUUCUGAGAGGAAGGACCCCCACGUUGGAACAGAGACACAGUCCAAACUCCGACAGGAGGGAGAAGAGAGGAGUAAUGAUCAAAGGGCGUUAGCCUGAACCAGCCAAGUAGCUGGAAGGAUGAAGGCUUAUAGGUCGUAAACUUCUUUUAGAUAAGAAAAUGUAUUAGAUGAAAAAGGAUCGGCUAACUCCGUGCCAGCCGCCGCGGUAAUAC